rnacentral:rRNA from 1 species
AUCUUCUUUGAAGGNAUGCUUAAGGAGGGGCUUGCGACACAUUAGUUAGUUGGCAGGGUAAAGGCCUACCAAGACUAUGAUGUGUAGCUGGACUGAGAGGUUGAACAGCCACAUUGGGACUGAGACACGGCCCAAACUCCUACGGGAGGCAGCAGUAGGGAAUUUUCGGCAAUGGAGGAAACUCUGACCGAGCAACGCCGCGUGAACGAUGAAGUACCUCGGUAUGUAAAGUUCUUUUAUUAAGGAAGAAAAAAGAGUGGAAAAACUCCCUUGACGGUACUUAAUGAAUAAGCCCCGGCUAAUUAUGUGCCAGCAGCCGCGGUAAUACAUAAGGGGCGAGCGUUAUCCGGAAUUAUUGGGCGUAAAGGGUGCGUAGGCGGUUUAAUAAGUCUAUAGUUUAAUUUCAGUGCUUAACGCUGUUGUGCUAUAGAAACUGUUUUACUAGAGUGAGAUAGAGGCAAGCGGAAUUCCAUGUGUAGCGGUAAAAUGCGUAAAUAUAUGGAGGAACACCAGAGGCGUAGGCGGCUUGCUGGGUCUUUACUGACGCUGAGGCACGAAAGCGUGGGGAGCAAACAGGAUUAGAUACCCUGGUAGUCCACGCCGUAAACGAUGAGUACUAAGUGUCGGGUAAAACUGGUACUGAAGUUAACACAUUAAGUACUCCGCCUGAGUAGUACGUACGCAAGUAUG